CGAGAAUGAAGCCGAAAUACGUCGUUCACGCUACGCAGAUGCUCAAUAUUACUCACACUAGGCAUUUACCUUUAUUAUUGGAUUAGUUAACGGUACCUGUUUCGAUAGCUUUCGUGCAAUAGAAAAUCAUUUAGCUUAAUUAUCACUCGUCUAAGUUUAUUUAAUUUUUAAAACUUAUUUUGGGUCUGUUUUAUAUGUGCUUUUGAGUUUUGUUUAUUCAAACUAAGUGAUUCAAUUUAAAGUUCAGCUAAAGUCCCUGGGGCCAUGUGUGUAUAAAGUUAAGUUGCAUUUAUCUUUCGUCUUUGUAUUCUGGUCUGGCAUGCAACACACACUGGAACAUACUAGCCUUAACUCUGAGUGAGGGCGUUUCUCCCUCAGGUUUACUGACUGUGACUGCGUCUGCAAGUCUAAUAAGCCGACUACCUAGAGAGCAUUUUUGGACGACAUACACGUGUGCAACAGCUACUGAUGCCUUGAAAGUUGUCUAGGAAGGUAGACGAGGUCGUAUUAGAUAAAGCCACGUCCGUUCACACAGAGUUGGCGUUUGUACUAAGCAGUAGAUACAUCUCGUGCGCAUCUUUAUAUACUGCUACCGAACUGAAUCGCGUACUUCUAGUUUGCAGUCAUGGCUAAAAAAAGUAUUUCCGCCAAAAAGUCUUUUAAGAGCCUUUUUUCUAAAAGUGAAGCUAAUCUGAAAGAUUGUGUGGAAGAUGACAGUAGUAAGAGUUCAACGCUUAAACUAUUCAAAUGGAAGAAAAAGAAGAAAAACUCAACUGACAUACCAGAAGACAACCUGACGCUUGCCAGAACCGAGCCUGCCACAUUGGGUGGCACUGAUAGUCAGGAUGGGGAGGAGUUUUCUGGACACAAGCCAUCUGUGUUUGGCACUGGCCCUAGGAAAAAGAAAGCGUUGCUCAGUUAUUCAGAAACAGACCUUCGUAAACCCAAGAGCUUCAGCACAUUCACCUUUAGGUGGAAAAAGAAAAAAAAAGGUUCAACCAUGAGUCUGUCCGACAUCAUUGAAAGCCCAUUAUUCAAAGGUCCCGUCAGUGAGCAAGGUGAAUUUGAAGAUCAAGUGGAAAAUGAACAAACCUCACCACAACAGGUUGCCUUUGAGGCUACACCUGUUUUCACAACAACUGCGUAUACUAUCCCUGAACAGUCCCAGACCCCGGAUGUCUGGAAUGAUGUGUCUUGGCCCAGUAAGGAGGACAGACCAGAGGAUGCUGUUCUUGUCACGGAGGGCUAUAUGCCAACCAAUCUGGACGGUGAAUCAAUACCAUACAUUGACUCUUCAUUCUCUGAUAGUGAUAGUUACCAGACACCCCCACAAAGCCCAACAACAUAUUCUCGGUCAAAUCAUACACCUACCCAGUCUGUGACUACAGAAUACCCUCCUAAAACCUAUAUACCUAAUAUACCAGAAAGAUUUUCUCAGAUGAAUGCUGCUGAUCCUGCAAAUGUUACGAGCACUCUGAAUACAGCAGAUGUUUUUUCCAGAUAUAAUGAUGCAGUUGAAGAACGUCCAGGCACUAAAGAUGCUGUACAUAGAUCUUCUCAAUACUCAAAUACUUGGUCUAGCAUUCCAGAGGAAGACUUUAUAGACUCGAUCAGUCUUGUUCCUAAUGUGAACACUGCUGCAAUAUAUGAUACAUACUCUGUUGGUAAUUCAUGGCCUGAGGAACAUCCGAAACUGAAUCAUUCAUUCCCAAACCUUGAUUUUGAGACACCUGAAUCAGAGACUUUAGCAAACAUUGAGGACCAAACUAAACAAGACAUUGCUCCUGAAGAAGACAAAGAUUUAACCUUUACACUUCCUGCUGUACAUAGAUCUUCUCAAUACUCAAAUACUUGGUCGAACAUUCCAGAGGAUGACUUUAUAGACUCGAUCAGUUUUGUUCCAAAUGUAAACACUUUUGCAGGAUAUGAUACAUACUCUGUUGAUAAUGCAUGGCCUGAGGAACAUCUAAACCUGAACAGUGCUUCUGGUAGGGAUGAUCAUUCAUUCCCAAACUCAAAUUUUGAGAUAUCUAAAUCAGAGACCCCAACACCAUAUUUUGAUUUUACUCAUCCUCAACAUUCCCCCAGUAAUCCAACUUGGAUUAUAACUACUGAGGCAGAAGACCCCCGGACCAGCGCAUACGUGUCUGACACUUGCUUUUAUAAGGUGGACAGCAGCACUGACCCAUGCAAUGUCACUACAGGCACCAUCAUACCCAAUUUUGUUCCACUGAUGCCAGAUGUGGAUGAAGACGUUGAUACAAAGCCAAUUUCAUCAUUCUUCAGUUCUGAUGUGUCAUUCGCUGAAGCUGAUUUGAGACCAGUUCAUGAAAAUCUCUUUGAUAAGAGUUUUCCCACAACCACAACUUUUCGUUACCAGGAAGAAUCUCACCACGAGACCAUCUCAGUGGAAUCUCCCCAAACUGACUCAGAGGAACCUUGCCCUGCUGUUGUAGGACCUGUUCAUCUUAAUGCUGAACCUGUCCUACUUGAGAAUGAGUCAAAGAUCACUUUGGCUCAGUCAGUUAUGUCAGGCAUACGCACCUCCGAUUUUACUGACACCUUUGAUCUCUCAGACUCCAUCACCUUUGACCCUGAGCCUUCCUUGGGAGUUCUGCAUGACAGUGGGUCUUAUUCAUGUGCUGUAAACCGAAGUGAAAAACAAGACCUCAUACGCAAGGAAAUAGAUCAGGCGAACUCAGCCAGCGAUGAAAAAUACUCAAUCACUACUUCUUCAGAUUUGACAGACCAUGAUAUCUCCAGGACUUUGAUCUGUGAAACCGAGCCUACCGUCUCAAUUCACCCACCUUCUCAUUCGCAGCCCUUCAGCUCUCUGGCCCGAAAAGAAGAGAUCUAUCAACGAAAAAUCAAUGCAUAUGAAGGUUUAAAUGCAGAAGAGGGACUUUAUAAAGAUAGUUUUGAGAAUCUUGAGAUCAUUGGCCAGGAUGAGACAUCAGUAAAGUGUAUGACCACAGUAGAGGACCUGCAGAUGUUUGUGAAGGAGGAAGAACACAUACCGGAUAUCUUUAAUAAAAAUCAUAAAGUUACACAAAUUGAAGUAAAAGAAAAUAAUACAGAGCAUAUCCAAAGUGAUUUACUCAAAAAUCAAAUGAUCCUUCCUAACACUGUGGUAAAACAUGAAGCAGUUCAGGAGAUGCCACAAAGUUUGUUAAAUACCACAGAAACAUCCAUAACGCACGGUGUGAUAGCACUAGAACCACAGGUAUGUGCAGACACUGAAGUGUUGACAGGUCAAGCAGAGAGGCAGAUUCACUGUUUCGCUCCACUAAAACCAGUCCUACCAGUCAAUCAAGAUUGCAUCCCCAAAGAAUGCGUUCCCGCCCCUCCUUCCUCUGAGCCGGUAAAGGUAUCACUUGCAGAAUCGAGCAUGACAACACACAGUCACCUGGAGACGUGGCUCCGCCCCUUGGCCCAAUACCAUUCCGGUGGAGUGAAAACAAUACCAGAGGACACCGCAAGGAUCAAAUACCAAACAACCGCUGACAUCCAGCACGCUGAGAGGCAGGAACACACAAACAAUGAAGAGGCAGAAGAUAUAGGCACAUCGCUCACAAGUACUCAGAACAGUGAAAGUCAAAAACCAAACAGUGAGGAGGACACAGACUGGCAGUCCACAUACAACACAGAAGAGACCUUCAAACACAACAGAAACACGAGUUUUAAUCAGGGAGAGGUAAAGACAGAUAACAUCACAACCUUCACUCAGAGGAACGUGUUUGAUAGCAGUAAAACCACACCUGAGGGCUGGAGAGAAGUUGAAGAUCUCCACAAACCAGAAGUUAAUGCUGUACAGGAGCACCUGCUUCCAACGCGGUUGAUACCGGGUGACAGAUUCUUUCAUGCAUCCACUGAUCUCAGUACAGUGAUCGAGGAGCCGGAUAUAGAGAGCGAAGAAGAAACUGAGCCUGGAUCAGACACAAACAUGAGCACUGGCAUUGCCGUCCUAAAUACAAAGCUCAGCCGCCCCUCAUCAUCAUCAUCCACCCUAGAGGGCAGAGAAGAUGUCAAGGUGGUCCGUAAAGUUUCCCUUGUUAGCACCGACAGUAAGAGCAGCUAUGAAAGUUCAUUGGACAACAAUGGGUUAAGAGAUUGGUCAGAACCGAGCACAGCCAGCCCUGAAUUUCACAGAAGAUGGCAGGGCAUUCAUUCUGACUCUGAAGUAAAUCACUUCAAAAGCUUUAUGGAGAAUUCAGACUAUAACCUUACACAUGGCUCGUCCCCCAGCUAUGAAAAAGCAGUCUACACUUCUCAUUUCGGCUCCCCGGGGACACAAAAAACCCAGCCCACUUAUUUCUCCUCUGAGAGCACUGGUAGCCUUGGAAACAGUAGCUGGAAAGUAACCGAGAGCGAAGUUCAACAGGAUAGUGAGAGUUACCUUAGUGGGAGGAGUGGGGUGGAGCUUAAUACACCUGUUGGAGGGAGAGAGGCGGACAUACAAGAAACAGGCUUUGACUCACAGGCGCGUUUAGAGAACAGCUUGAGGAUCACAGAGGAGGAAGAGGAUUCUUUCUCUGGCGUGUUCCACGCGACACGCGUAGAACUGGUUCCCUCGCCCACUUCUCUUGAACCCGAGCCUCUCAUUUACUCCUCAAAUCCUGAGAUGGACAGCCUGGUGGACACGCUGAAGAGCAUGGACCGACCGGUCCGACAAAGGUUACAGCGUACAUCAUCCAACUUCUCCUCGCUGCCGCCAAUUGAAGAGGAUGCGCCGAUCUUGUCUGCACCUGAAGUCGCACCCGUUACAGAGCCAAAGAAGGUUAUGAAUGGAGUUUCCAGUUUACCUCCAGAUUUUGGACUUAGCUGGUCUUCUGUCAAGGACAUGCGAUCUCCUCUGACCCUGCUGAAGGAACAGCAGUUCGGAGAGAACCGCGGGGCUUCCCUGCCCAUGCGAGCUUCAGCCCUAAACAGCAUCGUUAUGCGCAGGGGGUCUCUCACUGACCUGAGCACCGAAGAGACCCCGUCGACGGGGCUUACGAAUGGAACCCCAUCCCGUCUGGAAAACAGCCUGUUCUUUCAGUCACCCGAAAACGGAAAGGGCUCAAGUCGCUCCAUCUACCGAGCAGCCUCUCUCCCCGACAUAGGCAGCAGCCACGAACGCAUCAGCUCAGCCCCUAAGGGUACAGACAAUCCACCUGCAAGCCGUUACGAGCGCUUCUCGUACCUCAUGUCUUCGUCGAGUUCCCUCAGUGGGAUUUCUGAAACACCUCGGAUAAGCAUGCCUCCCUCCAUCCAACAAAACUCCAACACAGAGACGACAAGCUUCAACCACAGGAACUCUCUGGAGCUUUACCGCUCGUUGCCAUCUGAAACUUUUUCAAAAACUCGCCAUCUUUGGGUCUUCAGCGUAGCGUUAGUGUCGAUGGAGGUCUUCAUCUAAACAAUCAUCUAAACAAUCAUCUAAACAAUGACAACAAAGGCUUCCAAAUGAAUCAUAAGCCAAAACCGGAGCCAGAACGGAACUUAACACCCAAAUACAGAGCCUUUCCUGAUUCAUACCUCACAAAACAAAAGGAACAUGGGAAACUGAAUCCUCGACCUGGAAAG